rnacentral:rRNA from 1 species
AAUAGAUACCCCGGUAGUCCACGCCGUAAACGAUGUCGACUUGGAGGUUGUUCCCUUGAGGAGUGGCUUCCGGAGCUAACGCGUUAAGUCGACCGCCUGGGGAGUACGGCCGCAAGGUUAAAACUCAAAUGAAUUGACGGGGGCCCGCACAAGCGGUGGAGCAUGUGGUUUAAUUCGAUGCAACGCGAAGAACCUUACCUACUCUUGACAUCCAGAGAACUUAGCAGAGAUGCUUUGGUGCCUUCGGGAACUCUGAGACAGGUGCUGCAUGGCUGUCGUCAGCUCGUGUUGUGAAAUGUUGGGUUAAGUCCCGCAACGAGCGCAACCCUUAUCCUUUGUUGCCAGCGGUUAGGCCGGGAACUCAAAGGAGACUGCCAGUGAUAAACUGGAGGAAGGUGGGGAUGACGUCAAGUCAUCAUGGCCCUUACGAGUAGGGCUACACACGUGCUACAAUGGCGCAUACAAAGAGAAGCGACCUCGCGAGAGCAAGCGGACCUCAUAAAGUGCGUCGUAGUCCGGAUUGGAGU